rnacentral:rRNA from 1 species
GACGAACGCUGGCGGCGCGCCUAACACAUGCAAGUCGAACGAGAGAUGAGGAGCUUGCUCUUCAGAUCGAGUGGCGAACGGGUGAGUAACGCGUGAGGAACCUGCCUCAAAGAGGGGGACAACAGUUGGAAACGACUGCUAAUACCGCAUAAGCCCACGGCCCGGCAUCGAGCAGAGGGAAAAGGAGUGAUCCGCUUUGAGAUGGCCUCGCGUCCGAUUAGCUAGUUGGUGAGGUAACGGCCCACCAAGGCGACGAUCGGUAGCCGGACUGAGAGGUUGAACGGCCACAUUGGGACUGAGACACGGCCCAGACUCCUACGGGAGGCAGCAGUGGGGAAUAUUGCACAAUGGGGGAAACCCUGAUGCAGCGACGCCGCGUGGAGGAAGAAGGUCUUCGGAUUGUAAACUCCUGUUGUUGAGGAAGAUAAUGACGGUACUCAACAAGGAAGUGACGGCUAACUACGUGCCAGCCGCCGCCGUAA